AACCGUUAACGGUGGAUCACUCGGUUCGUGCAUCGAUGAAGAACGCAGCAAAAUGCGAUACGUGAUGCGAUUCGCAGCGCUUGUGAGAGUCAUCGAAACUUUGAAUGCAACUGGCGUCCUGGAACACUCGUUCUAGGACAUGUCUGGUUGAGGUCG